rnacentral:ncRNA from 2 species
GUUAGGGAGAGCAGGCUGGAUGUAAGGGAAGAGGGGUGAAAAUCCCCCGCUGCCCCGCAGCCGUGACCGGGGACGAAAGCCGCUUGGAGGUCUACCUGACCUCUGGGGAAGGAGGUCCCGAGUAAGGAUUCCCUAAAAGGAGGCUUCCUUCCUUGGGCUAAAGGCCAACAGCCUUUAGCCGACAGACCACUGGUGCCGAAAGGCACUGGGAAGGUGCGGCAAGUAGGUUGAUCCGGAAGCCGGAAGACCUAUCCAGCCUCUAAAAACCUC